rnacentral:rRNA from 1 species
GUGAACGCUAGCGGCGUGCUUAAGGUAUGCAAGUCGAGCGGUGUUUGUAGCAAUACAGACACAGCGGCGAACGGCUGAGUAACGCGUUGGAAUCUACCCCUUACUUGAGGAUAGCCCCGGGAAACUGGGAGUAAUACUCAAUGUGGUCGCAAGACCAAAGGCGCAAGUCGGUAAGGGAUGAGCCUGCGUCCUAUCAGGUAGUUGGCGGGGUAAAUGCCCACCAAGCCUAUGACGGGUAGCUGGUCUGAGAGGAUGACCAGCCAGAGGGGCACUGAGACACGGGCCUCACUCCUACGGGAGGCAGCAAUCGGGAAUCUUGCACAAUGGGCGAAAGCCUGAUGCAGCGACGCCGCGUGAAGGAUGAAGGCCUUCGGGUUGUAAACUUACAUUAAAAAGCACCGGCUAACUACGU